rfam:Elusimicrobium minutum Pei191, complete genome.
GGGCUAUUAGCUCAGUUGGUAGAGCAGACGCCUCUUAAGCGUAAGGUCACAGGUUCGAACCCUGUAUAGCCCA